AACGAACGUUAGCGGCGCGCCUAACACAUGCAAGUCGAGCGAGAAAGGGGCAACCCCGGUAAAGCGGCGCACGGGUGAGUAACACGUAGGUAAUCUACCCUCGGGUGGAGGAUAACUUUCCGAAAGGAAGGCUAAUACUGCAUGAGACCACGGUUCCGGAAGGGAUUGAGGUCAAAGCCGGCCACUGUACACAAGCUGGCGCCUGAGGAUGAGCCUGCGGCCCAUCAGCUAGUUGGUAGGGUAAUGGCCUACCAAGGCGAAGACGGGUAGCUGGUCUGAGAGGAUGAUCAGCCACACUGGAACUGAGACACGGUCCAGACUCCUACGGGAGGCAGCAGUGGGGAAGUCUUGCGCAAUGGGCGAAAGCCUGACGCAGCGACGCCGCGUGAGUGAUGAAGGCCUUCGGGUUGGUUAAAGGACUCUGUGGAGGGGGACGGGAAAGUAAAGGGGACGUGGGCGUAACAAUACCAGCUUGAUGACGGUACCUCUUUAGUCAAGACACCGGCUAACUCUGUGCCA
rnacentral:rRNA from 1 species